UACAGAGGUCUCAAGCGUUGUUCGGAUUCAUUGGGCGUAAAGGGUGUGUAGGUGGCGCUGUAAGUCGGGUGUGAAAUUUCGGAGCUUAACUCCGAAACUGCAUUCGAUACUGCGGUGCUUGAGGACUGGAGAGGAGACUGGAAUUCAUGGUGUAGCAGUGAAAUGCGUAGAGAUCAUGAGGAAGACCAGUGGCGAAGGCGGGUCUCUGGACAGUGCCUGACACUGAGACACGAAGGCCAGGGGAGCAAACGGG
rnacentral:rRNA from 1 species